rnacentral:rRNA from 1 species
UACAGAGGGUGCAAGCGUUGUUCGGAAUUAUUGGGCGUAAAGGGAGUGUAGGCGGCUCUUUAAGUCUGCUGUGAAAUCUACGAGCUUAGCUUGUAACGUGCAGCGGAAACUGGAGGGCUUGAGUGUCGGAGAGGGUAGCGGAAUUCCCGGUGUAGAGGUGAAAUUCGUAGAGAUCGGGAGGCAACACCAGUGGCAAAGGCGGCGU